GACAGAGGGUGCAAGCGUUGUUCGGAAUUACUGGGCGUAAAGCGCGUGUAGGCUGCUCUGCAAGUCGGGUGUGAAAGCCCCGGGCUCAACCUGGGAAGUGCACUCGAAACUGCAGAGCUCGAGUCCUGGAGAGGAAGGCGGAAUUCUCGGUGUAGAGGUGAAAUUCGUAGAUAUCGAGAGGAACACCGGUGGCGAAGGCGGCCUUCUGGACAGUGACUGACGCUGAGACGCGAAAGCGUGGGGAGCAAACAGG
rnacentral:rRNA from 1 species